rnacentral:piRNA from 1 species
CAGAAGGUCAGAAGGAUCGUGAGGUCCCGAU